CAGCCGCCGCGGUAAUACCGGCAGCUCAAGUGAUGGCCACUAUUAUUGGGCNUAAAGCGUCCGUAGCCGGCUAGACAGGUCCGUCGGGAAAUCCACUCGCUCAACGAGUGGGCGUCCGGCGGAAACCAGCUAGCUUGGGACCGAGCGACNUGGGGACCGAGCGACCUGAGGGGUACGUCCGGGGUAGGAGUGAAAUCCCGUAAUCCCGGACGGACCAUCGGUGGCGAAAGCGCCUCAGGAGAGCGGAUCCGACGGUGAGGGACGAAAGCUAGGGUCUCGAACCGGAUUAGAUACCCGGGUAGUCCUAGCCGUAAACGAUGCUCGCUAGGUGUGGCGCUGGCUACGAGCCAGCGCUGUGCCGUAGGGAAGCCGUGAAGCGAGCCGCCUGGGAAGUACGUCCGCAAGGAUGAAACUUAAAGGAAUUGGCGGGGGAGCAC
rnacentral:rRNA from 1 species